UACGUAGGUGGCAAGCGUUGUCCGGAUUUAUUGGGUUUAAAGGGUGCGUAGGUGGCCCUGUAAGUCAGUGGUGAAAUAUCUCAGCUUAACUGAGAGGGUGCCAUUGAUACUGCAGGGCUUGAGUACAGAUGAGGUAGGCGGAAUUGACGGUGUAGCGGUGAAAUGCUUAGAUAUCGUCAAGAACACCGAUAGCGAAGGCAGCUUACUAGACUGUAACUGACGCUGAUGCACGAAAGUGUGGGGAUCAAACAGG
rnacentral:rRNA from 1 species